CACCCACUCGCUCAGUCGCCUCUUCACGCCCAUUCCCCUCGCUCACCGACUCCCCCAAAUGCUUUGCCCGCAGCGGUGACACACAUCCCCUUCACCUGCGUCGGUGACUCAGCCGCGUCGCCGCCCUUCUCCUCAGGCGUUGCCGCCUCGCCUUCUCGUCCGCGCCGCCUCUCCCUCUCGCCCGCAUCCUCUGCGCCACGCUCGAACCAAAGUUGGUUGUUUUAGUGAGGUCGAGUAGGAGCGUGAGGAGCAUGUGCACGGCGGCCUUGUCCUGCUCGACGACGGCGGCGACGGACGCUAGCGCUCCUCGUCGCCAUCGACCUGCAAGGAGGAGCGCCGUCUUGGACGCUGCUAUCCCUGACGCUGCUGGUGUUCCGUCGCUGCUACGUGUUCCCCGUCACCUGCUCCCAGGUCGCCCCCGAAGUCGAGCUACCCCCGCUCGACCUGCAAGAUGUACUGUGGCCAAGAACUGCUCUACCGCAGGAGUAGAUUGGAAAGGCAAGGUGCAAGGACAGAUUGGAAAGGCUGUUGCUGCUCCUGAACGAUGCGGCUACUGCUGCCACUGCCUCUCAUCUAUUCGGGCAUGAGCACAUUCUUGGAGUGGAUCUGCAUUUCAAAAAGUCUACAAGUGGGAGUACAUGGAGUACUACAGCUUAAAUCGAGGAGAAGAUGGUGCCUGCUCCGUGAUGAUGCCGCUGUCACCUACGACUUCCUCGACCACCACCACCACCACGACUUCCUCAAACAGGGUGAGUACUGAGUACUCCUCCAAUGCUUGUACUCCUAGUCCUAUCAAUGUUUACUGCUGUAAUCAUGGGGCAGUUAGCUGCUGUAAUCAUGGCCGGAGUAAUGCAACAUUAGUUGGUAAGAAACAAUGUCAGUAUGAAACCUCUCUACGGUAACUAUUUUUUCUGUCAGGAACA